UACGAAGGGGGCUAGCGUUGCUCGGAUUGACUGGGCGUAAAGGGCGCGUAGGCGGUUCGUACAGUCAGACGUGAAAUUCCCGGGCUUAACCUGGGGGCUGCAUUUGAUACGUGUUGUCUAGAGUGAGGAAGAGGGUCGUGGAAUUCCCAGUGUAGAGGUGAAAUUCGUAGAUAUUGGGAAGAACACCGGUGGCGAAGGCGGCGACCUGGUCCUUGACUGACGCUGAGGCGCGAAAGCGUGGGGAGCAAACAGG
rnacentral:rRNA from 1 species